ACAACUCAAAUGAUGAUAUUUUCAUAUAAAAUCAGAGCAAUUAUGUUGAAAUCUAUCUAACAUGCAUCACCAUCUGACAACGAGUUGUU